CCUAUGGGGGGCAGCAGUGGGGAAUAUUGGGCAAUGGGCGCAAGCCUGACCCAGCAACGCCGCGUGAAGGAAGAAGGCUUUCGGGUUGUAAACUUCUUUUCUGAGGGACGAAGAAAGUGACGGUACCUCAGGAAUAAGCCACGGCUAACUACGUGCCAGCAGCCGCGGUAAUACGUAGGUGGCAAGCGUUAUCCGAAUUUAUUGGGUGUAAAGGGCGUGUAGGCGGGAAAGCAAGUCAGAUGUGAAAACUCAGGGCUCAACCCUGAGCCUGCAUUUGAAACUGUUUUUCUUGAGUGCUGGAGAGGCAAUGGGAAUUCCGGGGGGAGCGGUGAAAUGCGUAGAUAUACGGAGGAAAACCAGUGGAGAAGGCGGAUUGCUGGACAGUAACUGACGCUGAGGCGCGAAAGCGUGGGGAGCAAACAGGAUUAGAUACCCCAGUAGUC
rnacentral:rRNA from 1 species